CACCCACCAGCUAGCCCUCCCCCAUUACCCAACACUUAUUUAUUAAUAACCCCUCACGCACUAAAACAAAAAACCAAACCAUUUUUCCUCCUAAGUAUAGGCGACAGAAAAG
rnacentral:rRNA from 1 species